GGCUGUGGCUCAGUAGUAGAGCGCUUGCCUAGCACGUGCGAGGCACUGGGUUCAAUCCUCAGAACCA
rnacentral:tRNA from 1 species